GACAUAGGUGGCAAACGUUAUCCGGAAUUAUUGGGCGUAAAGAGCUCGUAGGCGGUUUGUCGCGUCGAAUGUGAAAACCCGGGGCUCAACUCCGGGCCUGCAUUCGAUACGGGCAGACUAGAGUUCGGUAGGGGAGACUGGAAUUCCUGGUGUAGCGGUGAAAUGCGCAGAUAUCAGGAGGAACACCGGUGGCGAAGGCGGGUCUCUGGGCCGAUACUGACGCUGAGGAGCGAAGGCGUGGGGAGCGAACAGG
rnacentral:rRNA from 1 species